rnacentral:rRNA from 1 species
GCGAUCAUACCAGCACUAAUGCACCGGAUCCCAUCAGAACUCCCAAGUUAAGCGUGCUUGGGCGAGAGCAGUACUAGGAUGGGUGACCCCCUGGGAAGUCCUCGUGUUGCACCU